CAUUUCUGUGUGGGUGUGACAGCUUGGAAACCGCAAUUGUGGCAAUAAGUCUUAACCGUCUUCUCUAAGUUCUAUUGAAAAGCACUAAAUCAAACCCAGGUCCAGACUGCGGCUUGCACGCACAGAAUAAUUAGGCUCGUGUACUAGCUAUUGUCUCUGUUUGAGCCUGUUGUACAAAAGCAUAAAGCCAGAACCACAGGGGGGCUGUAACCGGGUGCCAUGUCUGCAUUUUAAUUCCAUGCACUUUCCCUUUCUCCGCUAGAGCACGAAGUAUGAAGUGUGGAGCAGAGAGAAAAGCAGAGAGUUUAUUUCCAGGUGUCUGGACAUAUUCAACAGGCACAAACUCCCACUAAGGAAACGCCUGGCGUUGUGCCACGCACUUUUCCAUAGGCUUCCUGAUGUCAGCGGUAUGCCAUUCAAAUCUACAUCUACCCUGUGAAACAGGUGCUAAUAACAUCUCCCUUUCACAGAUGAAGAAACUGAGAACUUAAAGACCCCUCGGCGAGCUCUCUGAGUGCGGCUUUAUCUUCAUCUUUAAGCUUACACAACCCGUGGAUAAAUUAUAAGUUACUGCAGAGAUUCCCACCAAUGACAAACUGACUCACUGUCCUCCAAGUUCUUUCAUCUUUUUG
rnacentral:lncRNA from 1 species